rnacentral:ribozyme from 1 species
CAAUCCUGAAACUGAUUUAUACGAAGCAUCUCUUUUGCUAAAGCAAGGAUUUUACAACUAUAAAUAUGUGGUUGUGAACGAGAAAGGCGAAGUAG